GACGUAGGGCGCGAGCGUUGUCCGGAAUUAUUGGGCGUUAAAGAGCUCGUAGGCGGUCUGUUACGUCUGCUGUGAAAACCCAGGGCUUAACCCUGGGCUUGCAGUGGAUACGGGCAGACUAGAGGCAGGUAGGGGAGAAUGGAAUUCCCGGUGUAGCGGUGAAAUGCGCAGAUAUCGGGAAGAACACCGAUGGCGAAAGCACUCUGCUGGGCCGAAACUGACACUGAGAGACGAAAGCUAGGGGAGCGAAUGGG
rnacentral:rRNA from 1 species